CAUCCAGACUUCUGGCACUUCUUCAGCUAGACUGCCUGGUUCUGAGAAUGCUAGGCAAAUAACUAGUGGAUUUUUUCAUCCAAGCAACAUAUCUUGGAGGAACAAGGAAUGAAGCACAGAUACAGUGAGUGCUACCUGUGGGAAUGAGCAGAAGUAGGGUUCAAAGCAUGUAGUGCCCAUAUAUUCCCUUACAGUCUGAUAGUACAGGAGUUCACUCUUGGCUCCAUUCACAAGAGGAGGCAGUUAAUUACAGUUAAUGCAAAGACACAGUUUCUGCAAUUGGACUCUGGAGUUGCUUUUGCUGCUGCUAGUUACUACCAUCUGCUGAUGCUUGUGUGUGAGCUCAGCUCUGCUGUAUUCCACCACUAAUAUAGCUGAGCUCUAAAGUUAAAGCUUUAAACUUCCCCUGGUAUAACAUGAGAGAAGAUUCGGCUAUUACUGAUCUUAGUAGUUCAUGAGCUAGGAAGUGCUCAGCAGAGACUGAAGGUGGUUUAUGAGCACUUCCACUACCUUAUCCUACUGAUGGUUUAAAGCUUCGUGUUUGGCCUCAAGUGAGCUGUGAUGGUCACCAGUGCCUGGCUCCUUCCCAAAGACCCUAGUCUGAAAUAGAGCAGGUCAACACAUGUUGCUGUUGGACCAGAACAGGCUGACUCAAUGCCAUUUUAAAAUCAGUGACUGCUCAUAGCUGUAGCUUCUUAGUAAGUUCUUUGGCUGUCCUUUUGGAGAUGUGUAUAUGGCAAUUGAAUAUGGGCUUUUUCCAAGUGAAAAUGAAAUUCCAAGAGCCAAGUAUCAACAGACCACAUUCCAAUAGUUCAGUGUAUCGGCCCAGUUUUCUUUUAGCUGUCGUUUGGUGAAGAAAGAUGCAAAAGAGGCAGAACGUGAAACACAGACUCCAGAUUCCACACACCAGCUGCCUUGCUCUCAUCCUGAUGGUAGCUUUCAGCUACUUUGCACACUAAGGUCCCUGGAUGUGGUGAUACAGUAGGGUCCCUAGAUUUUUACCUAUAUUUGCUGUGGUCUGUAGAAAGAAUAAACAGCAGAAUGUUUUGUUGCACAGGAGCAGGGUUAAGCCUAAAGUCAGGGCAGGAAAAUAAAGGUACAUGGAUGAAAUGGAUUGACUAUGUCUCUAGUGGCAAAGUGUUUUCUAGAACUACCCCCCAGAAUUUCAUAGGCACAUGUUGUAUUUUUAUAAUGUCUCUUGCUGCAAACAUUGUUACAGAAUGCACAAAUCAAGAGUUCUUUCUGCCAUUUCCUUGGUAGACCUUAAGUGAAGAAAAAAGUCUAGCUCAGAAGGUGUUGCAAGAGACAGGAUUGAUGUUACAAGCUUAUUGGUCUAUGUUCAGUCACAUUCAUGUGUUAAUGAAAGCCCUGUUAAUAUGUAAAAAUUGAGGAUGAUUCUUAGUGAUCAAAAGCUCUCUGUGUUUCAGAAUUCAGAAGAAAUGACUGAAAAAGAACAGGCAUGUUGCUACCCAAAAAGGUCACAGAGGGAGAAUGAAACAGUGCUGUGCCAUGUACUGCUGUUCCCGAGACUAAAGCUCUGGAGAGCAGAAGAUGGAGCUUUCUUGGCAGCUAACUCAUACCUGCAGAAAUCCCUCAUUGCAUGUGGUGAGAGGUGUGAAAACUACAGCUACUUUCAAAGUCAAGAGCUCCUGAAAUUUGAAUGUUCACAUUCACUGCCAUUUAGGGGCUGAAGGAAGUGGGGCUAUUCAGGCUAAAGAAGACAUCCCAAGGGUCUUCACAUCUUUAAAGGCUGCUUCUGAGAGGAAGGUAAUAAUCAUUCCCAUGCUGAGCAAAAAGAAGCAUAGACUGGAAUUGCAGAGAGGCAGACUGAGCUUAGACAUAAGCACAAACUCAAAAUAAGGAGAGUGAAGGAGUGCCUAUGAAUAUUGUGAAAUUUCCAUCACUGAAGAUGUUUAAAAAUGAGUUACACGAGUCUCUGCUGUCAGAAUAUAGCUAUAGACUUGCUGGGUGGAAUUUGGAAUUGACUAGCUGACCUCUUGGUUUAUAGAAUCACAGAAGCA